CCUACGGGAGACAGCAGUGAGGAAUAUUGGUCAAUGGACGCAAGUCUGAACCAGCCAUGCCGCGUGCAGGAAGACGGCUCUAUGAGUUGUAAACUGCUUUUGUCCGAGGGUAAACGCAGACACGCGUAUCCGUCUGAAAGUUACUUACGAAAAAGGAUCGGCUAACUCCGUGACAGCAGCCGCGGUAAUACGGAGGAUGCGAGCGUUUUCCGGGUUUAGUGGGUUUAAAGGGUGCGCAAGCGGAAGAUCAAGUCAGCGGUAAAAUGUAGGGGCUCAAACGCUUCGAGCCGUUGAAACUGGUGUUCUUGAGUGAGUGAGAAGUAUGCGGAAUGCGUGGUGUAGCGGUGAAAUGCAUAGAUAUCACGCAGAACUCCGAUUGCGAAGGCAGCAUACCGGCGCUCAACUGACGCUCAUGCACGAAAGUGUGGGUAUCGAACAGGAUUAGAUACCCGAGUAGUC
rnacentral:rRNA from 1 species